ANNGCNUUCGGNUUGUNAACUGCUUUUGUACGGAACGAAACGGCUCUUUCUAAUAAAGAGGGCUAAUGACGGUACCGUAAGAAUAAGCACCGGCUAACUACGUGCCAGCAGCCGCGGUAAUACGUAGGGUGCGAGCGUUAAUCGGAAUUACUGGGCGUAAAGCGUGCGCAGGCGGUUAUAUAAGACAGUUGUGAAAUCCCCGGGCUCAACCUGGGAAUUGCAUCUGUGACUGUAUGGCUAGAGUACGGUAGAGGGGGAUGGAAUUCCGCGUGUAGCAGUGAAAUGCGUAGAUAUGCGGAGGAACACCGAUGGCGAAGGCAAUCCCCUUGGACCUUGUACUUGACGCUUCAUGCACGAAAGCGUGGGGAGCAAACAGGAUUAGAAUACCCUUGGUAGUCCAAGGGCGAAUUU
rnacentral:rRNA from 1 species